AUGGAUUUGGUGGAUCCAUCAGUUUCAGAGAGUUGCUCGAAUGAAGAGGCUUUAUGUUGCAUUCAUGUUGGGCUCUUGUGUGUUCAGGAUGAUCCGGAUGUCAGACCACUCAAGUCAACUGUUGUAUCAACGUUGGAGAGUAGAAGCACACCAGUUGCAACGCCUGAUAAGCCACUGUAUUUUUCUCGGAGGAAUAAGCACUCUUUCAAAGCCAAAGCUUCCAAAAGGUGUGAUUUCACCCCCUCAGUUCAAAGAUGGAAUCUACCGUGGGAGGACAAGGUUAUGGUCAACCUUGAUACUGCCAUCUUCUUACAAUCUGAAUAUAUUGGUGCUGGUGUUGUACUUUUGUGUCCAGUGAUCACUUCUAUGAGAAUGUGUGAUCACUUCUAUGAGAAGAGGAAUAUCUUAGCUUGUGAUUGUUCAUCUCUGGUGUCCAAGCUGAAUGCCUCUGAAGCUGAACGAUUGGCUACUGGUGCUGUCGCCCAUGACAUCAAGUUAUUACCGUUGUUGAAGUUUGUUUCAGUUUCCUUUAUUCAUGUUAGUUGA
rnacentral:rRNA from 1 species